UGGCGGCAGGCCUAACACAUGCAAGUCGAGCGGUAGCGCAGAGAGCUUGCUCUCGGGUGACGAGCGGCGGACGGGUGAGUAAUGUCUGGGAAACUGCCUGAUGGAGGGGGAUAACUACUGGAAACGGUAGCUAAUACCGCAUAAUGUCGCAAGACCAAAGUGGGGGACCUUCGGGCCUCAUGCCAUCAGAUGUGCCCAGAUGGGAUUAGCUAGUAGGUGGGGUAACGGCUCACCUAGGCGACGAUCCCUAGCUGGUCUGAGAGGAUGACCAGCCACACUGGAACUGAGACACGGUCCAGACUCCUACGGGAGGCAGCAGUGGGGAAUAUUGCACAAUGGGCGCAAGCCUGAUGCAGCCAUGCCGCGUGUGUGAAGAAGGCCUUCGGGUUGUAAAGCACUUUCAGCGGGGAGGAAGGCGGUGAGGUUAAUAACCUCAUCGAUUGACGUUACCCGCAGAAGAAGCACCGGCUAACUCCGUGCCAGCAGCCGCGGUAAUACGGAGGGUGCAAGCGUUAAUCGGAAUUACUGGGCGUAAAGCGCACGCAGGCGGUCUGUCAAGUCGGAUGUGAAAUCCCCGGGCUCAACCUGGGAACUGCAUUCGAAACUGGCAGGCUAGAGUCUUGUAGAGGGGGGUAGAAUUCCAGGUGUAGCGGUGAAAUGCGUAGAGAUCUGGAGGAAUACCGGUGGCGAAGGCGGCCCCCUGGACAAAGACUGACGCUCAGGUGCGAAAGCGUGGGGAGCAAACAGGAUUAGAUACCCUGGUAGUCCACGCCGUAAACGAUGUCGAUUUGGAGGUUGUGCCCUUGAGGCGUGGCUUCCGGAGCUAACGCGUUAAAUCGACCGCCUGGGGAGUACGGCCGCAAGGUUAAAACUCAAAUGAAUUGACGGGGGCCCGCACAAGCGGUGGAGCAUGUGGUUUAAUUCGAUGCAACGCGAAGAACCUACCUGGUCUUGACAUCCACAGAACUUAGCAGAGAUGCUUGGUGCCU
rnacentral:rRNA from 1 species